GCUAUUCUCGUCUUUGCCGUUCCCGGUUAA
rnacentral:sRNA from 1 species